GUAGUUAGCCGGGGCUUCCUCACAAGGUACCGUCACUUCUUCGUCCCUUGCGACAGAGGUUUACAACCCGAAAGCCUUCUUCCCUCACGCGGCGUUGCUGGGUCAGGCUUGCGCCCAUUGCCCAAUAUUCCCCACUGCUGCCUCCCGUAGGAGUCUGGACCGUGUCUCAGUUCCAGUGUGGCCGAUCAGCCUCUCAGCUCGGCUACCCAUCGUCGGCAUGGUGGGCCGUUACCCCGCCAUCUACCUAAUGGGACGCGAACCCCUCCUAAAGCGAUAAAUCUUUGACCCCUGCCCGAUGCCAGGCUGUGGUCUCAUGCGGUAUUAGCACCGAUUUCUCGACGUUAUCCCCCUCUUUAGGUCAGGUUGUUCACGCGUUACUCACCCGUUCGCCACUAAAAUGUCCCGACCGAAAUCAAAACAUUCCCGUUCGACUUGCAUGUGUUAGGCACGCCGCCAGCGUUCGUCCUCGAGCCACUGAUACAACUAACUACGUACUACGUAGACGGGCGGUCGGCGACGGACGGCGACUA
rnacentral:rRNA from 1 species